CCUACGGGAGGCUGCAGUGGGGAAUUUUGGACAAUGGGCGCAAGCCUGAUCCAGCCAUGCCGCGUGUGGGAAGAAGGCCUUCGGGUUGUAAACCACUUUUGUCAGGGAAGAAACGGCUCUUACUAAUAUUAGGAGCUAAUGACGGUACCUGAAGAAUAAGCACCGGCUAACUACGUGCCAGCAGCCGCGGUAAUACGUAGGGUGCAAGCGUUAAUCGGAAUUACUGGGCGUAAAGCGUGCGCAGGCGGCUAUGCAAGACAGAUGUGAAAUCCCCG
rnacentral:rRNA from 1 species